AUUGAACGCUGGCGGCAGGCUUAACACAUGCAAGUCGAGCGGAGAUGAGGUGCUUGCACCUUAUCUUAGCGGCGGACGGGUGAGUAAUGCUUAGGAAUCUGCCUAUUAGUGGGGGACAACAUUCCGAAAGGAAUGCUAAUACCGCAUACGUCCUACGGGAGAAAGUAGGGGAGCUUCGGACCUUGCGCCAAUAGAUGAGCCUAAGUCGGAUUAGCUAGUUGGUGGGGUAAAGGCCUACCAAGGCGACGAUCUGUAGCGGGUCUGAGGGGAUGAUCCGCCACACUGGGACUGAGACACGGCCCAGACUCCUACGGGAGGCAGCAGUGGGGAAUAUUGGACAAUGGGGGGAACCCUGAUCCAGCCAUGCCGCGUGUGUGAAGAAGGCCUUAUGGUUGUAAAGCACUUUAAGCGAGGAGGAGGCUACUGAGACUAAUACUCUUGGAUAGUGGACGUUACUCGCAGAAUAAGCACCGGCUAACUCUGUGCCAGCCGCCGCGGUAAGAC
rnacentral:rRNA from 1 species